AUAACGGUCCUAAGGUAGCGAAAUUCCUUGUCAGGUAAGUUCUGACCCGCACGAAUGGCGUAAUGAUCUGGGAGCUGUCUCAACUGCCCGCCCGGCGAAAUUGUAGUACCGGUGAAGAUGCCGGUUACCCGCGACUAGACGGAAAGACCCCAUGGAGCUUUACUGUAGCUUAAUAUUGGAUUUCGGCAUUUCAUGUACAGGAUAGGUGGGAGACUAGGAAACAUAGGCGUCAGCUUAUGCGGAGUCGUCCUUGGGAUACCACUCUUGGAGUGCUGAAAUUCUAACCUGCAGCCCUGAAUCGGGUUGGGGGACAUUGUUAGGUGGGCAGUUUGACUGGGGCGGUCGCCUCCAAAAAGGUAACGGAGGCGCUCAAAGGUUGGCUCAGCAUGGAUGGAAACCAUGCCAUAGAGUGCAAACGCAAAAGCCAGCCUGACUGCGAGACUGACGGGUCGAGCAGAAACGAAAGUUGGAGUUAGUGAUCCGGCGGUAUGUGAAUGGAAAUGCCGUCGCUCAACGGAUAAAAGCUACCCUGGGGAUAACAGGCUGAUCUCCCCCAAGAGUCCACAUCGACGGGGAGGUUUGGCACCUCGAUGUCGGCUCAUCGCAUCCUGGGGCUGUAUUCGGUCCCAAGGGUUUGGCUGUUCGCCAAUUAAAGCGGUACGCGAGCUGGGUUCAGAACGUCGUGAGACAGUUCGGUCCCUAUCUGUCGUGGGCGCAGGAUAUUUGAAAGGCGCUGUCCCUAGUACGAGAGGACCGGGAUGGACGAACCUCUGGUGCACCAGUUGUCACGCCAGUGGCACAGCUGGGCAGCUAUGUUCGGAUCGGAUAAACGCUGAAAGCAUCUAAGCGUGAAGCCGGCCUUAAGAUAAGAUAUCCCACUGAGAUAAUCAGGUAAGACCCCUUGAAGACUACAAGGUUGAUAGGCACGAUGUGUAAGUGGAGCGAUCCAUUCAGCAAGCGUGUACUAAUAGGUCGAGGGCUUGACCAC
rnacentral:rRNA from 1 species